rnacentral:misc_RNA from 1 species
GAUGAAGAACGUAGCGAAAUGCGAUAAGUAGUGUGAAUUGCAGAAUUCAGUGAAUCAUCGAAUCUUUGAACGCACAUUGCGCCCGCCGGUAUUCCGGCGGGCAUGCCUGUCCGAGCGUCAUUUCACCACUCAAGCCCAGCUUGGUGUUGGGGCACCCGGCCGCCUGGCGGUCGGGGCCCCCAAGUACAUCGGCGGUCCCGCUGGGGGCUCCGAGCGCAGUAGCUCGCGGUAAAACGCGCCCCUCGCUCGGCGGCUCCUUCGGGCUUCCAGCCGCUAAACCCGUCCACCGACGCCCUUCGAGUUGACCUCGGAUCAGGUAGGAAUACCCGCUGAACUUAAGCAUAUCAAUAAGCGGAGGA